GAAACUGAGGCUAAAGAGUUUAGUAUUCUGCCAAGGCCAGCUAAUAGUUACAGAGCAUGGUUCCAAAUUCAGAGCUGUCGGAAGCUUAAGCCCAUGUGAUGAACCACGAAUGUGAUUUUACCUCAUUUAAGCCUUGCAGCAAACUCUGCCAACUAGUGUGCAUUUACUCCUGCCUCUCCAUGCCUGAAGGAAGGAAUGAAGAGGUCUCUGCUGUCCAUCUGAGCCAGUGACUGGGUGAAUAUGCCUGCCCAAUUCUAGCAUGCAGUAUUAGGAAGCCCACUGUUGCUGUGCACCUAAGCCCAGGUUUUCCAGUAUCAGCUCUUUUAGUAAUAAAGUUGGCAUUGUAGUUUCUAGCUAGGCAAGAUUUUCAGCAUCCCUAAAAUCACACUAAGAAGAUAAACAUGGAAACAGCUUGGAGCUGCCCUACCCAUAGUGAGGUGGUACUGACUGGAAGACAGCUUAAACGAUUUGGAGAAAAGUGGAAUACAUUAAUCUCAGAAAACUCUACCACCUGUAGAAAGAGAGCUAAAAUGGAGACAACCACAGGCAGUCUAAGAUACGCUGAACUACUACAGAAAAUAAUGCAGCAUGAAGGAAUGCUGGAAGGUAUGGGGUCAGAGCAAGCUGAUGGAGGGUCCUUCAUUUCCAAGCCACGAGUACAGCAGGAUGUAAGGCUUAGUUCAUAAGAACAUCUCCUGAAAGACAAUCUCUAUAAAAACUGUUUCAAUAGAAAGAAUGCAAGAUGUAACUGUUUAAUAAUAGGACUGAUAUUUUAAAAAACAAAUGAACGUAAUAGAAGACUAGAUGGAUGUGCUUCUCAAAGUCCUCUCUGUGGGAGGCUUCAUCCUCACUCUAGAUGUGUUGCCUGUAGCAGCUGUUAUUGAUUACCCGCCCAUAGCCUAUCCAUACUUACUCAUCAUUCCUUUACCUACCAGUGGCAUCCUAUUGGAAGCACCUGCGACUUUCUUAGGGCUUUCUCUUGGCCAAGCAUUGGAAGGCCAGCAGUAUUGAAAAGUUAAUAGUCUUGGAAGCACUGGCCCUCAACUAAUGACAAAGAAAAAAUAUAAGAUAAAUUCCCCAGCUUCCUUGCCUCCUGAAUGGGUCAAGUCUGUGGUGUGUUCUACCCGUUUUUCAGAGGUCCCAUGUUUUAAACCCUAGCUGCUCAAGGCAAUUUCCUGAUCAUUGAUGUACUCUCUAUUGGUAAAUGUUUAUAGUGGGUGUUGAAAUUUUAAGUGAUUUUCCUUUGAUCUUCUAAGGGUGUGAGGAUACAGGCGUCAAAGACCCCGUGCUGAGACAGCUCCAUAACAACAUGCAGAUAUUUGGCAAUGAGGGUUCAGAAGAGGACUUGCUGUGGAGAAGAGAGAAAAGAGAUGGGAAGACUCUGUGAAUGAAUAGAGAACACUCUGCAAGCAUCCCAGUUCCUUUGGUUGCCCUGCAGUCUGCAGGUACCAGGAGAAAUCAAAAGCCGCCUGGAAGGGCUUUCUGUCUGUAUGGAGUCAAGGCAGUGUCUUCAAAUCUGUGCUUUCUAAAACAAAGAAAUAACCUUGAUGAAACAAAUUUUCCCCAGAGGAAGGGGAGAGCCCACAGUGAGCUGGUAAAGAAGAUGCCUGGAGCAGGCAGCAUCCUCAAAUGGAAGGUAAUUGCCCUCAAAUCACUUAACUAGGAUGACCUACUUUGCUUUCCUGUAUAGCCAGGUCUGUUAUCAGACCCUUAUCUUGGGAGGCAUCGUGCCAGAGCCUGGGGCAAGAAAGGGCUGCUAUCCAGGAAUGCAGGUGAAAUUAUAGCUAUUAGCCCUGUCUUAGAGUGUGAGGAAAAUGUGCCCCCCUACCCCUGGCUAAGUUUGGGUUCCCAUGUCAUAAACUGCCUCCCUCUCUGAUAGCUCUGCAUAAACAUCCCAGGAACUCAAAGUAACAUUUGAUUUCCCAAAGAGAACAUUUGCAUUUGUAACUGUCAGAAAUAGGAGAGAUCAUCAAAGCUAAAUGAAUUGGGCUAUAAACAGUUUGAAAUAUGUCUUUAAAUUUUAAAAAACAUAUUUUUUGUUUGUUUUGGGGAGAGAGGAUCAUUUAGACUCAACAACAAAACAGAAAACUGUGAGUGCCAUUUUGAGACAAGACCUACCUGGUCCUUCCCCCUCAUACUUUCUGCUACCCCGUAAAGGGCCUGAACAGCAGAGGCUAUUGCAGCCCUGCAUAGCACAGGGCAAUGGAAUAACUUCAUAGGCCCCCAAACUGCAUGGAAGCAGAUAGGGUCUUAGAAGCACGGGGUUGCUUUCCUGGACCUGGUGUGGCUUGGAAGCCACAAAAUGUUUCCUGUGCACCUACAAGAGUGUAAGAAAACCACUGGAUAGGAAAGGACCUUGCAGACUGGAAUGAGUCAUCAUGCAGACCAAAGUCUACCUCAGUGGAUGGCAGUGUGGAUGGAUAGGGACAGAUGUCCGGAUACUGUCUGUCGUGUGCACUCCCACCCCAGCCUUUUGGUAUUCCUGGUACAAAGAUAUAACUCUUAGGAAAAACAGAAACCCUAAAUAGGCUGAGAUUAAGUUUCUUUCACCUGGAAGAAUGAAGACUAUGGUAGAUUUUGAGUUAUAAAACUCAAAUUUUUGCAUUUCUUGAACACCUAAGUCUAUGGACUGAUAUUAGCACCAGCUGCAGAAAUAAGCACAGUUCUCACCACUUUUCAAUUUGAAUGCAGAAGGAGCCUUGUCUGGCCAUAGCUCUGCCCUCUACAGUGGAAAACAUAACUUUAGUGGAAUUUAGAGAUCUUUGAGUAAAGACAGAAGAAUAGCAAAGUCUGUUAUUUACCACCUCACUUUUUUUGUACAAAUAUUUGAAAGCAUUUUCGCAUUAUACAAUACAAUUUGUUUCUAUUUUGAGGCAAACACAUCUGUUAGAGGAAUUAUUGCAUUUCUUCCCCCUACUAAGUUUUCUGGCCAAGAAGCAAAUUCCUGUAGUUCCAAAUCAGUAGCUCAAGUUCCUGGGUCAGACUACCCGCAGGCCCUCAAGUUGCUGUCUGGUUGUCGUCUAAAAAGUUGAUGUCACAGGCCAGUUGAUAUCAAAGAGUCCUGGGUUUAAAAACUGACUCAGGACUUCUAAUUGUAAGGCCUUACACAAGUUAUGUGACAAUUCUUAACCUAAGUUUCCUCAGCUAUAAAGUGGGGAUUAUAGCAAUAUCCCACAAUACCUCUGACAAUGAAAUAAUGUGUAUAUAUUGCUUGGCACCGGAUAUGGUUUGGAUCUGUAUCCCCAUCCAAAUCUCAUGUUGAAAUGUAAUCUGUUAUGUUGGAGGUGGGACCUGGUGGGAGGUGAUUGAAUCAUGGGGGUGGUUUCUAAUGGUUUAUCACUGUCUCCCUAGAGCUGUUCUCAUGAUAGAGUUCUCGUGAGAUCUGGUUGUCUAAAAGUGUGUGGCACCUCCCCACCCCACUU
rnacentral:lncRNA from 10 species